AGAGCGAACGCUGGCGGCAGGCUUAACACAUGCAAGUCGAGCGGGCGUAGCAAUACGUCAGCGGCAGACGGGUGAGUAACGCGUGGGAACGUACCUUUUGGUUCGGAACAACACAGGGAAACUUGUGCUAAUACCGGAUAAGCCCUUACGGGGAAAGAUUUAUCGCCAAAAAGAUCGGCCCGCGUCUGAUUAGCUAGUUGGUGAGGUAACGGCUCACCAAGGCGACGAUCAGUAGCUGGUCUGAGAGGAUGAUCAGCCACAUUGGGACUGAGACACGGCCCAAACUCCUACGGGAGGCAGCAGUGGGAAUCUUGCGCAAUGGACGAAAGUCUGACGCAGCGACGCCGCGUGGGUGAUGAAGGCCUUCGGGUUGUAAAGCCCUGUGGGAGAGACGAAUAAGUCGGAACCAAUAAUUCCGAUGAUGACGGUAUCUCCUUAGCAAGCACCGGCUAACUCUGCGCCAGCAGCCGCGGU
rnacentral:rRNA from 1 species